UUCCAGACUCCUACGGGAGGCAGCAGUGAGGAAUAUUGGUCAAUGGGCGGGAGCCUGAACCAGCCAAGUCGCGUGAAGGAAGAAGGUACUUAGUAUUGUAAACUUCUUUUGUCGGGGAACAAAGGCGGAGACGCGUCUCCGGAUGAGUGUACCCGAAGAAAAAGCAUCGGCUAACUCCGUGCCAGCAGCCGCGGUAAUACGGAGGAUGCGAGCGUUAUCCGGAUUUAUUGGGUUUAAAGGGCGCGCAGGCGGGAGAUCAAGUCAGCGGUAAAAUGUCGGGGCUCAACCCCGGCCGGCCGUUGAAACUGGGGAUCUUGAGUGGGCGAGAAGUAUGCGGAAUGCGUGGUGUAGCGGUGAAAUGCAUAGAUAUCACGCAGAACUCCGAUUGCGAAGGCAGCAUACCGGCGCCCGACUGACGCUGAGGCACGAAAGCGUGGGGAUCGAACAGGAUUAGAUACCCCGGUA
rnacentral:rRNA from 1 species